rfam:Camelus ferus unplaced genomic scaffold scaffold1783, whole genome shotgun sequence.
AAGGGUAUAGCUCAGGUGGUAGAGUACAUGCUUAGUAUACACGAGGUCCUGGGUUCAAUCCCCAGUACUUUCU